AUAUUUCUCCAUAUGAAUCCAGCAUAAGUUUUUCAAAAACCAGUCCCCAAACAAUUCAGGAUCGGUGUAUUUCACCAGAGGAACUGAAUUCCAGGCGAAAUCUUUCACCCUGUAUAGCUCGCUAAUGAAGCGUUUAUGCCACUAACUGAUAAUAUCGAGUAUGACAACCUUUUCCAAUCAAUGAAUUGCCAUAGUACGAGGGCGAAUCAUAUAUAGACGGUAAUUUUGCUGUUGACUGUACCAAACUCGUUUGGAAGUGAUGUGGCUGUGGGCGAUUGUUGUUUUGCUUAACAGGAGUGGGGUGAACUGCUCGCGUCACAGUAGUGUUGUGUUCUGCCUUCAUUACAGCCAUGACCGAGCAAGAGGUACAUCCAUCUGUUGCGCAUGCAUCGUCAUAACAUUUUUAACAAAUGAGGGUGUUAAGCCGUAUUAUAAUUCCAUAUUUUGAGUUCAUCUUUUCAAAGUUUAAAUAAAAAAGUUUUAAAAAUGUU